UAUCAAUGUGGACUAAUAAUACAACAGCUUGUGGCCUAAUGAUUCCGGUAGUUAAAGCAACCCUGAUUGAACUUGAAAGGUUGGGCAUCUUUGAAAUGUUUGAAUACAACAAGCUGUCGCAAAGAAACGAUGUCACGAAAAGAGAUCCGGUACCAACUGAUAUUACGACGUUUUACUUUCUAGGCGUUGCAUACUCUUCAACUAUAGGAGGUAUAUCGACUAUUGUCGGAAGCGAAGCAAACAGAACACUUAAGUUCUACUGUGAAAUGAUCUUUCCCAUGGCUCCACAUAUAGACUUCCCUCACUUCAUGUUGCUUACUCUACCAGCAGUGAUCAUAUUGGAGACUUUCUUAUAUUUCUGGUUGAACUUCUAUUACCUGG